UCGGUUCCGGUUCACGCCGCGACUUCCCGGCUCGGGAAGGCGACCCGGAGCC
rfam:Mycobacterium chubuense NBB4, complete genome.